rnacentral:rRNA from 1 species
AGAGUUUGAUCAUGGCUCAGAUUGAACGCUGGCGGUAUGCUUAACACAUGCAAGUCGAACGGUAACAGGCCUUCGGGCGCUGACGAGUGGCGGACGGGUGAGUAACGCGUAGGAAUCUGCCUCAUAGUGGGGGACAACGUGGGGAAACCCACGCUAAUACCGCAUACGCCCUACGGGGGAAAGCGGGGGCUCUUCGGACCUCGCGCUAUGAGAUGAGCCUGCGUUAGAUUAGCUAGUUGGUAGGGUAAAUGCCUACCAAGGCGACGAUCUAUAGCUGGUCUGAGAGGACGAUCAGCCACACUGGGACUGAGACACGGCCCAGACUCCUACGGGAGGCAGCAGUGGGGAAUAUUGGACAAUGGGCGGAAGCCUGAUCCAGCAAUACCGCGUGUGUGAAGAAGGCCUUAGGGUUGUAAAGCACUUUCAAUUGGGAGGAAAACCUGCCGGUCAAUACCCGGUAGCUUGACAUUACCUUUAGAAGAAGCACCGGCUAACUCCGUGCCAGCAGCCGCGGUAAUACGGAGGGUGCGAGCGUUAAUCGGAAUUACUGGGCGUAAAGCGUGCGUAGCCGGUUCGUUAAGUCAGAUGUGAAAGCCCUGGGCUCAACCUGG